AGCCUGUUUGUAUUGCUCAUUCACUUCCAAAACUAAUGAAUAUGAUGUCAAAAAUGGCAUAAAUUAAACACUUUGCAGCCUUUUCCUAUCCUUAAAUUUGAUAUUUUCAGUGUAGAAUCUGUGUAAGUAAAAGUU